UACAUCGCAAAAAAAUUUAUUGAACGUUAUAAUUUUUUAAUUUACCAAGCAUUACUUGGUAAUGAGUAUUAAGUGGAGAAUUAAAUUUGAUUAGAAACUUGAUCUGUAAAGUUUCUAUAAAAAGAGAUUUAACGAAGGAUGGAUGGGAUAGUAUAGUAACCGGAAAGGAAAUUAUUCUAUACGUAAAAUUUUUUCAUCGUAAAUACUACAGGACUGCAUGAUAGAAUACGGAGUGAGCAUUCUCAUUUCUUCUCUGGUGUUACUGGACCUCGAAGGAUUGUCUCUCAGUACGGUUAUUACCCCAUGCGACCAAGUGGUCAAGUCAUUUAAAGAUAGUAUAUGGAGGAAACAAUGUAUUUAAGUUUAAAGUUAAGUAUCUGCUCUUUUUGAUUUCACAGUAGCAUAGACAAGAAUCUAUUGAAUCGCACGUCACAAGAACCUAUUUAAUUGUAUAAUUCCACAGAAAGGUUCAUAUUUUAUCAUUUCUAUCCGAGAAUGGCAAAAAUGUGCAAUAAUGAUUUGUAUUGGUAAAAAUUUUAUUUUAACAGGUAACAAAUAAAGAAAGUUUCAUUUCUAAAUUAGUACCUAGGUACACUGUUUCAGCGAUAUCUGACAUUGGAUCAUGUUAGAAGUGCGGCAAAUUGUUGAUACGUCAGGGGAACCUACUUCCCGUAUUGGAGACGAGUAUAUUCAGUGCAUGUAGGCAAGAUAUAACGAUCUGGAAUCUAGGAAUUACAGUCUGAA